AAGGAUCAUUAGUGAAUAUAGCGCAUCUACUUGUAGAGCGUGACCUCCACUUUCAACUCUGUGCAUUUUUUGGCGAGGGAGAGCGGAAACCGACGCAAGUCGAUGAAGCUCACUCUCGCGGCUCAUUUUAAAACACUAGUAAAAGUAUGUAACGAAAUAUCGAAACAAAAAAAACUUUCAACAACGGAUCUCUUGGCUCUC
rnacentral:misc_RNA from 1 species